rnacentral:rRNA from 1 species
GAUGAACGCUGGCGGCGUGCCUAAUACAUGCAAGUCGAGCGAACAGAUGAGGAGCUUGCUCCUCUGACGUUAGCGGCGGGCGGGUGAGUAACACGUGGAUAACCUACCUAUAAGACUGGGAUAACUUCGGGAAACCGGAGCUAAUACCGGAUAAUAUAUUGAACCGCAUGGUUCAAUAGUGAAAGACGGCUUUGCUGUCACUUAUAGAUGGAUCCGCGCCGCAUUAGCUAGUUGGUAAGGUAACGGCUUACCAAGGCAACGAUGCGUAGCCGACCUGAGAGGGUGAUCGGCCACACUGGAACUGAGACACGGUCCAGACUCCUACGGGAGGCAGCAGUAGGGAAUCUUCCGCAAUGGGCGAAAGCCUGACGGAGCAACGCCGCGUGAGUGAUGAAGGUCUUCGGAUCGUAAAACUCUGUUAUUGGGGAAGAACAAAUGUGUAAGUAACUAUGCACGUCUUGACGGUACCUAAUCAGAAAGCCACGGCUAACUACGUG